rnacentral:lncRNA from 1 species
CCCUCUCCUGUCCACCUGCCUUCCGGAAGCCCGAAGUCCCCUCUCCCCGACUGCGCUGUGCUGUGUGCCUUGCAAGAGUGACUUACCACAUGAGGAGCAGCAGGCCUGGCUCCUGCCCAGGAGGCACCUGGCCUAGAUCUCAGCGUCACUGCGGAGUUAACCAAGGGAAGCGGCACCAGCAUCACACCCUGUUCCAGCCAACAGUCUCCAGCGUCCCUGACAGAUGUCGGGAAGUUCUUUUCCCCGUAAGAUCCCGGAGAAUGUCCUGAGGCUGCCGUGUGGAAGCUCUGGGGCCUUUCUCGUCUCCCACUGCCAGCUUAAUGAGCUGUGCUGGUAGCAACAGAUGGCGCCCCGCAGGGUCUCACUUGGAUAGCUUGGAAAGUUCCUGGACACCAGUUGGACUUGCCGCGAAAACCAUUAAUCUGGCCUUUCAGAGAAAAUCUUCAGAAGAAUGUAUUUGCAAGGUGAAUUAUGAGGAUUUAGGAUUUGCCCUCAAAUUUCUCUUUCAGGCUGCUCUUCAAAUAAAUAUUUCCCCAUCCAAAAGAGACCACAGUUAUUUUAGAUGUUUGUCUCUUAACAUCUGAAUGCACUGCUUUUUCUUAGCUUUACAAGAACCUGUCCUCACAAUAAUCCACUCUACAGCUGAAAAGUCUUCUUACUCCUGCAAAUCUGAACCCAGUAAUGACUAACAUUGCACCCAAUAAGAAGUGAGGAUAAUUUCAGAACACUUGGCUUUGCUUUAAAGGGCAAGAUUUUGGAAGCAGGUUCACAGGACUCCAUCCAGAUCUGUCUUCCUGGCACACAGCUCAGGGGACCAUGCCCAAGCUCCAGGUGACAGCAGAGGGCAGGAGAGGGGACGCUUGCUUCCCACAUGUCUGGCCCUAGGGUAGGGAGCUCGUUAGGACUCCAGGUGCCAGAAUCCCACAGCACAGUGGCCUCUGGAUGCCCCUUCGUGUCCUGGAAAGGAGAGGCGGCUCCUCUCCAACUCAGGGUGGGGCUGGGAGAGGUCUUGACAGCAGGCAGGCCUUGGAGGCCACCGCAGCUCCCCAAAUGUCCCUGUGCCUCUGCACUCGCUGGGCCUGCUAGCUGUUCUGGGUCUCAAGGGUAUAUAUACAAUUCUGAACAUGUAACUAAGAACAUGUAACUCCACUAGGCUCAUAUCUCACCCUACACCAGCGUUCAUGAUGUGGGAUUUCUGAGCUGACUGCACGUGAGACCCGGCCAGGUCUUGACUCACUGCCUGAAUUUUCCACGUCUUUCUGGAGAUAAAGCCUUUCUCUGGCUUGGUGAAUGCUGUCUGAUUCUUCAUCUUUUUCCAUUUGGCAUUUUGCUUUGAAACUCAGAGUGUUGUAAAAGUAGUUGUACCUGCAUUUAUGUUAGAGAUUCUAAAAAAUACAACUCUGAGCUGGGUGCUGUGGCUCAUGUCUGUAAUCCUAGCACUCUGGGAGGCCAAGGCGGGAGGAUCACUUGAGCCCAGGAGUUCAAGACCAGCCUGGGCAACAAAGCAAGACCUCGUCUCCAUAAAAAGUAAAAAAAAUGGCUAGGUGUGGUGGCUCAUGCCUGUAACCCCAGUACUCUGGGAGGCCAAGGUGGGUGGAUCACCUGAGGUCGGGAGUUCAAGACCAGCCUGACCAACAUGGAGAAACCCUGUCUCUACUAAAAAUACAAAAUUAGCUGGGCAUGGUGGCGCAUGUCUGUAAUCCCAGCUACUCGGGAGGCUGAGGCAGGAUAAUUGCUUGAGUCCGGGAGGCGGAGGUUGCCGUAAGCCGAGAUCGCGCCAUUGCACUUCAGCCUGGGCAACAAGAGUGAAACUCUGUCUCAAAACAACAACAACAACAAAACAAAACAAAAACAAAACAAGUAAAAAAUUAGCCAGGCAUAGUGGCGUGUGCCUGUAGUCACAGCUACUUGGGAGGCCGGGGUCAGAGGAUCACUUGAGCCCAGGAGUUUGAGGUUGCAGUGACCUAUGAUUGCACCAGUACACUUCAGCCUGGGCAACACAGUAAGACCCCAUCUCUAUAAUCAAUCAAUCAGUCAAUCAAUAAAAUACAACUCUGAUUUUGUAAAGAAAAAAAGAUGUUUUGGGAGGACAACCUUAAGACAAAGAAAACAAAGUUUUCUAGUCCCAUCUCCUCAUUACCUGCUGCUGUCAUGUGCUAGGAAUAAUAAUGCAAUAAUUAAUUGAGUUGCCACAGCGGCAGGGACUGUCCUAAAGGCUGGAUGUAUGUUUUAUCAUUGAGUUCUCACAGCAAUCCCAGCAGGCAGGAUCUGUUUCUCCCCAUUGUACAGAUGAGGAAACUGAGGCACAGAAAUGCUUUACUUGGCCAAAGGUAGACAGCAAAUAAAUGGGGCCCAGAUGCAAAUGCAAACAUUUUGACUCCAAAACACUUGCCCAUAAACCGCAUGCGCCACUGCAUGGAGAGAUAUAACAAGGACCACCACAAGUCACUCAUCCAGAAGCAGUUUCAUGGACUAUACAAACUUAAUUUAAACGUGUGAAUUCCUUCUAACAGGAUGAAGAGCAAUCUGAUGCCUUCUCAGUUACAAAUCUGUUUGUAGAGGGCAUUGAUAGUUCCUAUAUUUUAAAUAGUUGUUUUGGAGGUUCUAGAUGGCAGAUUACAUACAAAGAAAAAUGCUUUUUUGAUGACAUGGAUUAUCAUUACAUAGAUUUGCAGUGAGUCGAGCCAUGUUCCCCAGCUAUAUAUUUUUUUUUCAGUAAAAGUCUGGUAUAACACAGGAAGUUAUACCAGAUUCUACUUCUGUAGCCUAUUAGGCAGAUGUUGCGAAGGAAUUUCACUGUGUUUGAUGCUUCAAUUUCGUACAGAAUCUCAGGUCUGACAUGGAAGAAGUUUUGAUGACUUACUGCCAACUUUGUAUCACCCCCAAAAUGCUUUAGAGAAAUAUCUCUCUACAGAGGAAAGCAAGGAACUGUGACUUUAACUAGUGAAUUGGAUCAACGUGUCCAGCUAAUUCAGCCAGAUUGCUGCACAACUGAUUCCACUUCUGCAGCAACUGCCAUCCAUCACCAGGACUGCUCUGCCUGGGGACAGCCAGGCCACAGCCCUGCUGACGUCUGCAUGGGUCUUGGACGUGGUCUAGGGCCAGAACGCAGUGAUGAAGCUGGUGGUUUGUAGAGGCUUUUACUACAAGUAACAUCCCUCAUUUGAUGAAAUAGAUAUCUUUCUGCCAACUUGGCUCUGUCACUGAAACCUGGUGUUUUUGUCUGGUAAUUCUUCAAAUUUGAUGUUUUAAAGAAUGUUAAGUGAAUUAAUUCCUCCUUUUUGUCAGUGCUAUAAGUUCCAUACAGAGUUUGCUCAGUCUGAAGUACAUCUGUAUUAAUUAGACAAACUAAAGCAUUGGGUGGAUCUAAACGGUUCCUUUUAAUGAUUUUUCUCCACGAUGACAAGGCACACUAUACAAACAACCACCUGAUUUUAGCAAGAGGGCUAAAAAUUAUAUUGCAUAAAUGGAGUUGCAUUAUUUAAACUUAAAUUCAGGCCAGGUGCGGUGGCUCACGCCUGUAAUCCUAGCACUUUGGGAGGCAGAGGCAGGCGGAUCCUUGAGAUCAGAAGUUCGAGACCAGCCUGGACAACAUGGUGAAACCCUGUCUCUACUAAAAAUACAAAAAUUACCCGGAAAUCGCUUGAACCGGGGAGGCGGAGGUUGCAGUGAGCUGAGAUCGUGCCACUGCACUCCAGCCUGGGCAACAGAGCGAGACUCUGUCUCAACAGAAACAAACAAACAAAAACAACAACAACAAAAAACAAAAAAACCCUGAAAUUCAAACUUUUGCCAUUAAAAACAUCCUCAAUUCGAUAAAUUACAACUUGUAUUUUGAAAUAUUGGUGGAAUGACCUUACCUGCUCUAUUUCAACCUUAAACAGCUGAAUUAAAAGCCUAAUUCCUACCAAAAGUCUUUAAAAUGAGAAAUUAACUGUGAUGAUACUUUCCCCUGAUUAAAUAAGAAGCAAGAGCUGGGGCUUUGCCUGAGAGGACAUCAUUUCAGAAGUCAAUUUGGUUUUGACUUCGUUAAAGCAAUAAAAUGUGGGUGGUUAAUCUGAGUGAAAGCUGCCAUGUUCUAAAAAUGCGUGAAGACUUAACUGGAUGGGUGGUUGCACCGCAGAAGCUAUUUAGGAUUGGAAAGUAGCUGUGAUUUGGAUUUUAAUGAAUUGCACACUGUUGACGAAUUCUUCAGCAGUUAGCCUGGAUCCUUUCCACUCAACUUAGACCUUUCUGCCUAGUUACUCCAACUUAAACCUCAGUUCCUGGAGGAAUCAAGUUUGUCUUAUAGCUGUUGUCUUUGAUGGAGAUGAGCCCGAGAGACAUUAAAGUUUCAGUGAAUUUUAUCCCCUUUCUGGAUACUAUUAAAUCACUCCUGCCCCAGGCAGAAGACUGGUCUUUACUCUAAGGCAGCUAAAGAGUGACUAUUUUUCCAAAUUGCACAAAAGGGAGAAUUUAUCAAGCACCUUUUCUCUCAGAGAGGACAAACCCAGAACAGGAAAACUUUAUUACUUUCUCUCUUGGCUAUAAAUUAUGCUAUUCAGAUGUAUUUGAAAGCUUCUCUUUAUGCUCUUGCUUGAGCCAUAAAACUUGAUACCUGGGGCCAAAUGCCUUUAUCCCCAAGAAGGGUGAAGAAGAUGAAAAGGCAGCAGCUCUAGGCGGAAGCCACACAAAUGACUGGGCAGAAAAUGCGGGCGGUGGAGAAAGUUACAUUGCACGAUUCAUGCCUCUUUGACCUUAUAUUCUACUCUGAAAUUAAUGUUACUGUUUGCAUAGGAUCACUGGCCUUUCGAAACCUGAAUUAGCCAUUCAGAAAACACUAGGUUUAACCAAUACCAUCAAUUUGAUUGUUGUUGUUAUACUUAUUUAUUUUUGAGGCGGGGUCUUGCUCUGUUGCCCAGGCUGAAGUGCAGUGGUGCCAUCUUGGCUUACUGCAACCUCCACCUCCCGGGUUCAAGCGAUUCUCCUGCCUCAGCCUCCCGAGUAGCUGGGAUUACAGGAUUAUACCUGUUUAAUUUUUGUAUUUUUAGUAGAGACAGGAUUUCACCACGCUGGCCAGGCUGGUCUUGGACUCCUGACCUCAAGUGAUCCGCCGGCCUCAGCCUCUCAAAGUGCUGGGAUUACAGGCGUGAGCCACCGUGCUCGGCCUGUUGUUGUUAUUUUUAAUACCGGGAUUUUAGAUCUGAUGAAUUUCAAUAAGCCAGCCACUCACCUGGAGAGGGUUCGCUGGGGUCCACUUUCUCUGCUUUCCUUACAGUCAUGGUACUUUUAUGUUUCUGCUUGACUGAUGUUUGGUCAAUUGCUGGAAGUUUGGAGUCACACUUAAAUGCAGAUAUCUUGAUAGAUGACCUUGGUUCAGUUAGAGCAUCCUCCUCACUAGAACUCUACCAAAAAUGAAAUACGUCUGAGUCUCAGUGGCCAAGUAGGUCAACUUUGUUAGGCAGAGAAAACAGAAAUGAGGCAAAUGCAGUGACCCUCUCCAGCAAUAAUCCUAGAGUCUUCUGCCAGGUCAACACGCCCGUUCACCAGAGAGAUUCAGAUGGACUGGGCAGAGCAACUUAGAAAUAAUGGCAGAGUUAGUGAGUCUGUUUUGUAGAACAUUAUGAAAGAAUGCAUUUUUCUGUGAGUGUGUUUUGUAGAACGUUAUGAAAAGAAUGCAUUUCUGACCCUUAAGUAAUUUGAUGACAGAUAAAUAGCGCAUGUGCUUUUAAACUUCUUAUUGUUUGUUAUUUGAACUACUUUGGAGAUAGGCUAGAAGAAAAAAUGUUCCUUAUGUUAAUCAUACAUUUGACAAUGAAAAGGAAAUGUAGAUAGUGUGACGGAGGCAGAUUAAAUCAGACCUCAGUUUCAAUACUCUGCGUUACUGGGUGCAACACGAGACAGACUAAUCUUUUAAAAAGUCCCCUCCUUGUCACUCUUCUAUAAAGAAGUCAGUAUAAAUCUAUGCAUGGACAAAUCAUGAUUCCUGCUGUGUCAGAAUAUCUCAACACAGCCAUGCCGACGCAAUAAAAAUUAUCCAGGCAUGGAACAGCUUUAUACUUGGCCACACUUACACCCACCAAAGAAAGGAUGAAAACAAUAUAAAUAUCAGAAACCUGGUCUUAAAGGUGAUUUAAGUACAGCCUGAUGGCUUUAGGUCCUGGUGUUGGUAUGACUUGCUAGGCUAUCCAUUCUGCAACAAAUAAAUCACUAGGUUCCCCCUUCCCCGACCCUGGGGGGUCGUUGCGGUGGGGGUGGAGGGGGGCACUAAGCUCUCUCCUCCAUUGCACAUUAGUCCAGUGUUGGAAAGUCCUGUGAAAAUGUGGUCUUUUGCAGGCAUAGAAUGCUAAAUUAACAUCCCUGGUACCUCCCCAACUGUUGCAAUUUGUAUUGAUCUUGCUCACCGUUCUCCCUGUCAGUUGUGGCAUUUUCAUUUCACAGGCUCCUGACUCAGGAAAAUACUCUGAGUAGCUUUGAAUUAUUGGGUGUGAUGUAAGACAAACUAAAUUCUAAAAAAGUCCUCUACUUGUCAGUCUUCUGUAAAGAAGUCUACAUAAAUCUACAGGUGGACACAUCAUUAUGCUCCAAGAUGAUGAAUCAUAUUUUAAAUUUAGAGUUUGGAUACAGCCUUCAAACAAAUAAUUCUUGUUUCUCCGCACAAUUUCAGAAAACAGACCACCCUCAGAUAAAAGAACCAGAAAAGCACAAGACACAACAAACUGACUGUUCUCCCCUUUCCUUUUCGAUUUUGCUAUUUAAUUGAAAUCCUUGCAAAUAACUCUGAAAUGUCAAAGAUGAAACAUUAGGUCAUUUCUUUUUUCUUUUUUUCUUUUUUUUGAGACAAAGUUUCACUCUUAUUGCCCAGGCUGGAGUGAAAUGGUGCCACCUUGGCUCACUGCAACCUCCGCCUCUCGGGUUCAAGCAAUUCUCCUGCCUCAGCCUCCUGAGUAGCUGGGAUUACAGGCACCCACCAUCAUACCCGGCUAAUUUUUGUAUUUUUAGUAGAGACGGGGUUUCGUUAUGUUGGCCAGGCUGGUCUCGAACUCCUGACCUUAGGUGAUCAACCCAUCUCAGCCUCCCAAAGUUCUGGGAUUAUAGGCGUGAGCCACUGUGCCUGGCUAAAACAUUAGGUCAUUUCUGAACAUGAGAUAGGUUCUCUAUUCUCAGAAAAGAAAAUGCGGGCACAUUUUAAGUAUGACACCUAAGAAUGUCAUUGUAAUUGGGUCCUGGAAGUCACAGUCCUGGAACUGGGUCCCAAGAAGAGCAUCAAUGAAUAAGGGACAGAAUUUCUUCCAUAAACUGCCCAACAAAAUCAGCUCACUGCAGUGGGUUAAGUCAACUCCCACAGGGCCCUGCAAGUGAGCCCUUUAUUUCCAGCCAGCAGAAAGGCAGGAAAAAUGCUCCAGGCGAGGAUGACCAACACCUGUGUCAGCAGCAGUAGCAGCAGCAGCAGCAGCAGGUGUCCGCUCAGCUCAUCUUCGCGGAUCCAUUUCCAUUACCCCCAGCCAGGGCCGGAAUUCUUGGCUUGCCCCAGGCUGUGGUGAAUAGGGAGGAGACCUUUAUUGGUUGAGCUGUUAAGCCACGUUUAUCCUUCCUCCACCCAUUCAUUAAACCUCAAGCCUUUAGUGCACUGAAGAGGUGAAAGCUUGGCCAAUUAAAUCAUCCUGUUACCUACGGGAUUGUGAGCCUACAUUGUGAAUACAUCCUUCUCUGGUUCAAUCAACCUUAUUUCUAGGUAGUAAUCAUUAAGAGUCUAGAAAUUGCAGCUAGAAGUUGGUGUUUUAUCAGUUGUAAACCGAAGGUACAAUGGCAAGAAGUGUAAUACUUACAAAUGUGUUAAUGGACUUUUUUCCUGCUUGCCUCAUUGAGAAAUCUUAAAUAAAUCACGUCCACCUUUUGGUCUUUAUUCUGUCUUCUUACGUUCUCAGCCAUUCCCAUCUAUCCUCUUUCUUUCUUUUUUCUGGAGACAGAGUCUUGCUCUGUCACCCAGGCUGGAGUGCAAUAGCGCGAUCUCGGUUCACUGCAACCUCGACCUCCC